rnacentral:rRNA from 1 species
GACGAACGCUGGCGGCGUGCCUAACACAUGCAAGUCGUGCGAGAAAGUUCCUUCGGGAGCGAGUAAAGCGGCGCACGGGUGAGUAACACGUAGGUAACCUGCCCCCCAGUCUGGAACAACUAGAGGAAACUCUAGCUAAUGCCGGAUGAGACCACGAUCCCUUCGGGGGUUGCGGCCAAAGAUGGCCUCUACUUGUAAGCUAUCGCUGAGGGAUGGGCCUGCGGGCCAUUAGCUUGUUGGUGAGGUAACGGCUCACCAAGGCUGUGAUGGCUAGCUGGUCUGAGAGGAUGACCAGCCACACUGGGACUGAGACACGGCCCAGACUCCUACGGGAGGCAGCAGUGGGGAAUAUUGCGCAAUGGGCGAAAGCCUGACGCAGCGACGCCGCGUGGGUGAUGAAGGCC